UUUGUAGGUGGCCUGAUAAGUUGGACGUGAAAGUCCCGGGCUUAACUCGGGGAGGCCGUUCAAUACUGUGAGGCUGGAGGGCGUCAGAGGGGAGUGGAAUUCCUGGUGUAGCAGUGAAAUGCGUAGAUAUCAGGAGGAACACCCGUGGCGAAAGCGGCUCCCUGGGGCGCACCUGACACUGAGAAGCGAAAGCUAGGGGGAGCAAACGGGAUUAGAAACCCCGGUAGUCCUAGCUGUAAACGAUGGAUGCUGGGUGUGCGCGGAUCUAACCCCGCGCGUGCCGAAGCCAACGCGUUAAGCAUCCCGCCUGGGAACUACGAGCGCAAGCUUAAAAA
rnacentral:rRNA from 1 species